UACGGAGGGUGCAAGCGUUAAUCGGAAUCACUGGGCGUAAAGGGCACGCAGGCGGCCUGUUAAGUCAGAUGUGAAAGCCCCGGGCUUAACCUGGGAAUAGCAUUUGAGACUGGGGGUCUAGAGAACUUUAGAGGGGGGUAGAAUUCCACGUGUAGCGGUGAAAUGCGUAGAUAUGUGGAAGAACACCGAUGGCGAAGGCAGCCACCUGGGUAUGUUCUGACGCUCAUGUGCGAAAGCGUGGGGAGCAAACAGG
rnacentral:rRNA from 1 species